rnacentral:rRNA from 1 species
GACGAACGCUGGCGGCGUGCUUAACACAUGCAAGUCGAACGGAAAGGCCCUGCUUUUGUGGGGUGCUCGAGUGGCGAACGGGUGAGUACACGUGAGUAACCUGCCCUUGACUUUGGGAUAACUUCAGGGAACUGGGGCUAAUACCGGAUAGGAGCUCCUGCUGCAUGGUGGGGGUUGGAAAGUUUCGGCGGUUGGGGAUGGACUCGCGGCUUAUCAGCUUGUUGGUGGGGUAGUGGCUUACCAAGGCUUUGACGGGUAGCCGGCCUGAGAGGGUGACCGGCCACAUUGGGACUGAGAUACGGCCCAGACUCCUACGGGAGGCAGCAGUGGGGAAUAUUGCACAAUGGUCGGAAGCCUGAUGCAGCAACGCCGCGUGCGGGAUGACGGCCUUCGGGUUGUAAACCGCUUUCGCCUGUGACGAAGCGUGAGUGACGGUAAUGGGUAAAGAAGCACCGGCUAACUACGUG